rnacentral:rRNA from 1 species
AUUGAACGCUGGCGGCAUGCUUUACACAUGCAAGUCGAACGCAGCGCGGGCUUCGGCCUGGCGGCGAGUGGCGAACGGGUGAGUAAUGCAUCGGAACGUGCCCAGUAGUGGGGGAUAGCCCGGCGAAAGCCGGAUUAAUACCGCAUACGACCUGAGGGUGAAAGCGGGGGACCGAAAGGCCUCGCGCUAUUGGAGCGGCCGAUGUCGGAUUAGCUAGUUGGUGGGGUAAAGGCUUACCAAGGCGACGAUCCGUAGCUGGUCUGAGAGGACGACCAGCCACACUGGGACUGAGACACGGCCCAGACUCCUACGGGAGGCAGCAGUGGGGAAUUUUGGACAAUGGGGGCAACCCUGAUCCAGCCAUGCCGCGUGCGGGAAGAAGGCCUUCGGGUUGUAAACCGCUUUUGUUCGGGAAGAAAUCCUCUGGGCUAAUACCCCGGGGGGAUGACGGUACCGGAAGAAUAAGCACCGGCUAACUACGUG